rnacentral:rRNA from 1 species
CAGCCGCCACGGGAAUACGUAGGGUGCAAGCGUUAAUCGGAAUUACUGGGCGUAAAGCGUGCGCAGGCGGCUAUGCAAGACAGAUGUGAAAUCCCCGGGCUCAACCUGGGAACUGCAUUUGUGACUGCAUGGCUAGAGUACGGUAGAGGGGGAUGGAAUUCCGCGUGUAGCAGUGAAAUGCGUAGAUAUGCGGAGGAACACCGAUGGCGAAGGCAAUCCCCUGGACCUGUACUGACGCUCAUGCACGAAAGCGUGGGGAGCAAACAGGAUUAGAUACCCGCGUAGUCCCUGUCUCUUAUAC